CGGGGGGGGCAAGCGUUGUUCGGAAUUACUGGGCGUAAAGGGCGCGUAGGCGGCCUGCUAAGUCGGACGUGAAAUCCCUCGGCUCAACCGGGGAACUGCGUCCGAUACCGGUGGGCUUGAAUCCGGGAGAGGGAUGUGGAAUUCCAGGUGUAGCGGUGAAAUGCGUAGAUAUCUGGAGGAACACCGGUGGCGAAGGCGGCAUCCUGGACCGGUAUUGACGCUGAUGCGCGAAAGCCAGGGGAGCAAACGGGAUUAGAUACCCCGGUAGUCCUGGCCCUAAACGAUGAGUGCUUGGUGUGGCGGGUAUCGAUCCCUGCCGUGCCGAAGCUAACGCAUUAAGCACUCCGCCUGGGGAGUACGGUCGCAAGGCUG
rnacentral:rRNA from 1 species